AUAUAUAUAUAUACACACUCAUGCAUAUAUAUAUAUAUAUAUAUAUAUGUGUGUGUGUGUGUGUUUAUAUAUAU